UAGACGAGGCUACUCAAUCUGCUAUCAUACAAUCUGUCCUUGACAAGUUCAAAAUCUCGGAUGAUUAUCAUGGCAAUCUAGUAGCUCAGCAAGCUGUCCACAGAAAAUGCUACAAUAUUCACAGAAAUUGGAGGCACAAUAUGAAAUUGCAUUACAAGCAUCUUAAGAACGUCUUACAUGUGGACCCUUAUAGUCAUCCAUACGAACAUAUGACUCAAGAGGAUUGGCGCCACUUAAUUGACGAUGUGUGGAAAAGCAAAGAACACAAGGUAACUUACAUAUUUAGUGCUUCAGAGUUUAUAAGUAAAAUAUUUGAUCAUAAUGUUUUCUUUAGAUUUUUAAUUUGUAUUUUUUUUGAAGGUGAGAUCAAAAG